rnacentral:lncRNA from 1 species
AUGGUAGAAGGGUGUUUUACUAUGUCAGAAGGGUGUUUUACUAUGGUAGAAGUAGAAGGGUGUUUUACUAUGGCAGAAGGGUGUUUUACUAUGGUAGAAGUAGAAGGGUGUUUUACUAUGUCAGAAGGGUGUUUUACUAUGGUAGAAGGGUGUUUUACUAUGGUAGAAGGGUGUUUUACUAUGGUAGAAGUAGAAGGGUGUUUUACUAUGGUAGAAGGGUGUUUUACUAUGGUAGAAGGGUGUUUUACUAUGUCAGAAGGGUGUUUUACUAUGUCAGAAGGGUGUUUUACUAUGUCAGAAGGGUGUUUUACUAUGUCAGAAGGGUGUUUUACUAUGGUAGAAGGGUGUUUUACUAUGGUAGAAGGGUGUUUUACUAUGUCAGAAGGGUGUUUUACUAUAGUAGAAGGGUGUUUUACUAUGGUAGAAGUAGAAGGGUGUUUUACUAUGGUAGAAGGGUGUUUUACUAUGGUAGAAGGGUGUUUUACUAUGUCAGAAGGGUGUUUUACGAUGUCAGAAGUGUGUUUUACUAUGUCAGAAGGGCGUUUUAAUAUGUCAGAAGGGUGUUUUACUAUGUCAGAAGGGUGUUUUACUAUGGUAGAAGGGUGUUUUACUAUGUCAGAAGGGUGUUUUACUAUGUCAGAAGGGUGUUUUACUAUGGUAGAAGGGUGUUUUACUAUGGUAGAAGGGUGUUUUACUAUGUCAGAAGGGUGUUUUACUAUGUCAGAAGUGUGUUUUACUAUGUCAGAAGGGCGUUUUAAUAUGUCAGAAGGGUGUUUUACUAUGUCAGAAGGGUGUUUUACUAUGGUAGAAGGGUGUUUUACUAUGUCAGAAGGGUGUUUUACUAUGGCAGAUGGGUGUUUUACUACGGUAGAAGGGUGUUUUACUAUGUCAGAAGGGUGUUUUACUAUGUCAGAAGGGUGUUUUACUAUGUCAGAAGGGUGUUUUACUAUGGUAGAAGGGUGUUUUACUAUGGUAGAAGGGUGUUUUACUAUGGUAGAAGGGUGUUUUACUAUGUCAGAAGGGUGUUUUACUAUGGCAGAAGGGUGUUUUACUAUGGUAGAAGUAGAAGGGUGUUUUACUAUGCCAGAAGGGUGUUUUACUAUGGUAGAAGGGUGUUUUACUAUGGUAGAAGGGUGUUUUACUAUGGUAGAAGGGUGUUUUACUAUGGUAGAAGGGUGUUUUACUAUGGUAGAAGUUGAAGGGUGUUUUACUAUGGUAAAAGGGUGUUUUACUAUGGUAGAAGGGUGUUUUACUAUGGUAGAAGGGUGUUUUACUAUGGUCGAAGGGUGUUUUACUAUGGCAGAAGGGUGUUGUACUAUGGUAGAAGGGUGUUUUACUAUGGUAGAAGGGUGUUUUACUAUGGUAGAAGGGUGUUUUACUAUGGUAGAAGGGUGUUUUACUAUGGUUGAAGGGUGUUUUACUAUGGUAGAAGGGUAG